rnacentral:rRNA from 1 species
AGAGUUUGAUCCUGGCUCAGAUUGAACGCUGGCGGUAUGCUUAACACAUGCAAGUCGAACGGUAACAGCAAGAGCUUGCUCUUGGCUGACGAGUGGCGGACGGGUGAGUAACGCGUGGGAAUCUACCCAAUAGUUCGGGACAACCUGGUGAAAACCAGGCUAAUACCGGAUGUGAUCUACGGAUGAAAGCAGGGGACCUUCGGGCCUUGCGCUAUUGGAUGAGCCCGCGUUAGAUUAGCUAGUUGGUGGGGUAAAGGCCUACCAAGGCGACGAUCUAUAGCUGGUCUGAGAGGACGAUCAGCCACACUGGGACUGAGACACGGCCCAGACUCCUACGGGAGGCAGCAGUGGGGAAUAUUGGACAAUGGGGGCAACCCUGAUCCAGCAAUACCGCGUGUGUGAAGAAGGCCUGCGGGUUGUAAAGCACUUUCAGUUGUGAAGAAAAGAUUAAGGUUAAUAGCCUUAGUCCUUGACGUUAACUUUAGAAGAAGCACCGGCUAACUCCGUGCCAGCAGCCGCGGUAAUACGGAGGGUGCGAGCGUUAAUCGGAAUUACUGGGCGUAAAGCGUGCGUAGGCGGUUAUUUAAGUCAGAUGUGAAAGCCCAGGGCUUAACCUUGGAACUGCAUUUGAAACUGGAUAACUAGAGUUUGGUAGAGGUGAGUAGAAUUCCUAGUGUAGCGGUGAAAUGCGUAGAUAUUAGGAGGAAUACCAGUGGCGAAGGCGGCUCACUGGACCAAAACUGACGCUGAGGCACGAAAGCGUGGGGAGCAAACGGGAUUAGAUACCCCGGUAGUCCACGCCGUAAACGAUGUCAACUAGUCGUUGGGUCCUUCGGGACUUAGUGACGCAGCUAACGCGUGAAGUUGACCGCCUGGGGAGUACGGCCGCAAGGCUAAAACUCAAAGGAAUUGACGGG